rnacentral:rRNA from 1 species
GCAAGUCUAACGAUGAAGCACCAGCUUGCUGGUGUGGAUUAGUGGCGAACGGGUGAGUAACACGUGAGUAACCUGCCCCUCACUCUGGGAUAAGCCUGGGAAACUGGGUCUAAUACUGGAUACGACCUAUCUCCGCAUGGAGUGUCGGUGGAAAGUUUUUGUGGUGGGGGAUGGACUCGCGGCCUAGCAGCUUGUGGGUGGGGUAAUGGAAUACCAAGGCGACGACGGGUAGCCGGCCUGAGAGGGCGACC